rnacentral:rRNA from 1 species
GAUGAACGCUGGCGGCGUGCCUAAUACAUGCAAGUCGAGCGAACAGACGAGGAGCUUGCUCCUCUGACGUUAGCGGCGGACGGGUGAGUAACACGUGGAUAACCUACCUAUAAGACUGGGAUAACUUCGGGAAACCGGAGCUAAUACCGGAUAAUAUAUUGAACCGCAUGGUUCAAUAGUGAAAGACGGUUUUGCUGUCACUUCUAGAUGGAUCCGCGCCGCAUUAGCUAGUUGGUAAGGUAACGGCUUACCAAGGCAACGAUGCGUAGCCGACCUGAGAGGGUGAUCGGCCACACUGGAACUGAGACACGGUCCAGACUCCUACGGGAGGCAGCAGUAGGGAAUCUUCCGCAAUGGGCGAAAGCUUGACGGAGCAACGCCGCGUGAGUGAUGAAGGUCUUCGGAUCGUAAAACUCUGUUAUUAGGGAAGAACAAAUGUGUAAGUAACUAUGCACGUCUUGACGGUACCUAAUCAGAAAGCCACGGCUAACUACGUG